GUCAGCGCGUGCGGAAGCAUCCAUGAGAUCAACUCCGUUGAAGAUUUUCGAUGACGUUCGGGCGGCUAAAUCGGCCGGCAUCUCGGUCUAACUCUUUACAAUCACUCUGCUUCUGCGAUUUUCAGUCGAUCGACCUGAAAUCAUCGUGAUCUUGAAGGACGCGCUUUCAACCGU
rnacentral:sRNA from 1 species